CCUACGGGGGGCAGCAGUGAGGAAUAUUGGUCAAUGGGCUUACGCCUGAACCAGCCAAGUCGCGUGAGGGAAGACUGCCCUAUGGGUUGUAAACCUCUUUUGUCAGGGAGCAACUCCGGCUACGUGUAGCCGUACUGAGAGUACCUGAAGAAAAAGCAUCGGCUAACUCCGUGCCAGCAGCCGCGGUAAUACGUAGGAUGCGAGCGUUAUCCGGAUUUAUUGGGUGUAAAGGGUGCGUAGGCGGAAUGCCAAGUCAGCGGUAAAAUCGCGGGGCUCAACCUCGCUCCGCCGUUGAAACUGGCGUUCUAGAGUGGGCGAGAAGUAAGCGGAAUGCGUGGUGUAGCGGUGAAAUGCAUAGAUAUCACGAAGAACUCCGAUUGCGAAGGCAGCAUACCGGCGCCCAACUGACGCUGAAGCACGAAAGCGUGGGUAUCGAACAGGAUUAGAUACCCUUGUAGUC
rnacentral:rRNA from 1 species